rnacentral:misc_RNA from 1 species
ACAAACUUGGUCAUUUAGAGGAAGUAAAAGUCGUAACAAGGUUUCCGUAGGUGAACCUGCGGAAGGAUCAUUACAAAUCAUAAAUGCUUACCAUUUUCUCUGUAAGGAGGAGUGGUGUAGCACAUGUGCCCGGACUAUAACUCACGUUAUAGUCUGUGACAUUUACGCUUGUUGUGUUUGACAGAGUUUAUAUUACGAUAUAUAAAAUAGACAACUUUUAACAAUGGAUCUCUUGGCUCUUGCAUCGAUGAAGAACGCAGC